CUACCUCACGUACCUUUUUCCGUCCAUAUCGUCUAUAAAUAUAUUGCUUGAGCAAUUUGAGAUCCACAUAUAAACCAUAUCGAAAGAAAAGAAAUAUCAAAUGGCGACAAGUUGUGAACACUACUACUGGAAUACUACUGUCUCCAUUCUCGUCGCUCUGUUGGUAUUAACUGCAAACAUGACGGCCGUCCACGCCAGAGCUCUGCGGUCGCAAGUAGUAGAUCUAGAUCAGGGAAGUAGAGAUGAUGCUGGCGCCGCCGCUAUAGCUUCAAUAUUGGUCGGGUCGUCAAGCAACGGUGGAAACUAUGGCGCAGGCGAUGGUUGUUCAUCAGUUUGGCUACGAGGAUUGAUGUAUAAGUUGGCUUCCGGACCUAGCAAAAGAGGCCGAGGCCAUUAAUUUCAAUCCCUUCACUUCCUGCAUUAUUAUUAUUAUUAUUAUUAUUUAUUCUCCUUUUUCUUUCUUCUUGUUAAAAUCCUUGAAGACGAAGAUUAUAUAUUUGUUUGUUGUAUACAUGCAGUGCAGUGAGUUUAAUUUCUAGCAACAGAGAGUUAUUGUGAUAGAGCAAUUAAUUAAUGAAUUCUUACUAAUGACACAUUGUUAAUUCUUCGUCCUAACCCUAUAGUUUAGAUUGCAGAUGCACUACUAUGGAAACCCCGCAUCGCAGCUAUAACAAGAGCAUCCCAUUUCUUAUUUUUUCACUAAUAGUGAUUGAUUAUUUGUAUACCCUAGGUACCAAGCAUGCUAUCAAUAAUUGUUGAAAAAUAUUGUUAAUAAUUUGUAAAAACUUUAAUCC
rnacentral:lncRNA from 1 species